rnacentral:rRNA from 1 species
UAGGGAAUAUUGGGCAAUGGAGGGAACUCUGGCCCAGCCAUGCCGCGUGCAGGAUGAAGGCGUUAUGCGUUGUAAACUGCUUUUAUAUAGGAAGAAAUAGUCCUUGCGAGGAAAGUUGACGGUACUAUAUGAAUAAGCACCGGCUAACUCCGUGCCAGCAGCCGCGGUAAUACGGAGGGUGCAAGCGUUGUCCGGAUUUAUUGGGUUUAAAGGGUGCGUAGGCGGUUUAUUAAGUCAGUGGUGAAAGACGGUCGCUCAACGAUUGCAGUGCCAUUGAUACUGGUAGACUUGAGUAUGAUUGAGGUAGCUGGAAUGGAUAGUGUAGCGGUGAAAUGCAUAGAUAUUAUCCAGAACACCAAUUGCGUAGGCAAGUUACUAAGUCAUAACUGACGCUGAGGCACGAAAGUGUGGGUAUCAAACAGGAUUAGAUACCCGGGUAGUCCCUGAGCGGGCUGGCAAGGCGCAU